GUUAGGCCAGAAUUCACAGACCGCAGCUGCAGCUACGUGAGCACCAAGGAAGCAGGUCCUGCUGGAGAGUGCUUAUUUCAAAGCUGGAAAUUCUGAGCUGCCAAAGGCUCCAAUUACUACCCCUGAGGAAUAAAGUUAUGGAAGGAUUGGGCUGCAUUAAACGACAAGAAAUUAUAAGAUCCACCUGGAAAAGCCUGAGAGAACAGAAGGUGUGACCUGAAGGUCCCGGAGGUGAACAGGACCUAGAGCUGGUUGAAUAAUGACAACAUACUCAUGAAAUAAUUCUACCAGCUCUCCAAGGACCUCUACCCAUUUACGACUUUACAGACUAAAGCCAACAUCUCAGAAUACACCAUGUCACGACUAGAACGAAGAAACUGCAGCCCCAUGAAGAGCACAUGGCAAUAAUCCUAUCUCCAAGUGGCUAAAUCAUGGGUCAUUGAGGUGAGGACCCCAUAUGAAAGAAAAAAUUACAAUCUACUGGCUGGUAGUAAUGCUGUGAAGUGCUUUUGUCUAGAGCUACUAUCGGGGUGUCUAG
rnacentral:lncRNA from 1 species